UGUUUUAUGAGCAGAGGACUUUUCCGGUAGCGUGUAUCAGGGGCUCAAGCGCUUGGCCAAUGAGCGGUCCGUAUUCAGUCACUCACAGCCGCCCAGCCAAUCACGCGCUCUGAGGCGUCCCGCGUCAUUAGCCACGCUACAUCCUUCCGUCAGCCCACACGUGGUAUCGCGAGUGUUAUUUUUUUUUUGCUUUCACCAUGGAUUUACUGUCUGAUAACAGCUCCAGUUCAUCAGAGCAUGAAGCUGAGACUUCAACUAAGCCACGGAAGAGGCAACGGUGCCCUGAGAAGUGGAUAAGAGCCGAAAUUAAGCAUAAAUGUAACCGGGGUGAGGCCUACACCAGUCACACCUCGAAGAAGGAAGUGGGUCCAAGGAGAGUUGGGCCUCCCUGCACUUGCCCAGAUAAGUGUUUUACCAAGAAAGACUGACUCAUGAUGUGGACACCUGCAAGAUGCCUUACAAUACACCAUAUUUGGAUGCAUCAGAUAGGACACAUGGUACCACUGAUAGACCUACUCCAUGAGCCAUGUCCUAGACACUGUAGUCACUAGACCUAGGAAAGAACACAGCUGCUUCAAUCACCACAUGGACAAGCUGGAAUUAACAGACAUCCCUCACUACCCCUAAAACUACAUACAACCAGCCACUCCAGAACAUCUCCUGCUAUAAUGUCCUCACCACCAAUCCCACUGCACUGCUAUCCUCCACUCACUGGCAGCAUUCCACCUCCACAGACCAACACUAGCAGACCUGAGUUCUCAAGACCCUAGUCUAACCUUCAAGAUGCUGAAGCACAUCAGGAUCUUUCUCCAGAAGACAGGACAACUCACCAGAACCUAAACCCAACCUUAAUUUUUCCAUAUAAUAUGUCUCUCUCUCUCUCUCUCUCUCUCUCUCUCUCUCUCUCUCUCUCUGUUUUGUGUAAGUGAGUACUUUCAUUAAGACUUCAUUCCAUUAACACUAUGAAGUUGUAUUACUUUUGAAAAUCACACUGCAUGGGCUUAGGUGUAUACUAAUGUGUCAUAGUUCUCAUAAGAACAGCACACUUUCCUUUUAUCUCUUCUACAUCUUGCCAAGGUUCCCCUAUUCCUGAAUGCACUGAAUGCACUAACAGCAAAUUCACUACACACAGUAAGUAGCUUUCUCAAUUUUUGGGAAUAUAGUCCCUGAGAUUGAGAAGUGAAUGGUGUUUUGCUGAAAAUGCAUGGAUUCCUCUAUUGUCAACAAAAUGAGAGAAGAGAAAACAAAAUUCCCACAACAUGAGUGACUCACAGAACUCAGGGAAAGUUGUCUUUUAUCAUUUUUACAUGAUAAAAACAGAUAGCCUUCAUACUUGCUAAUGAUGUAGUUGAUGAGUGACAGUAUUAGAUAAAAUUUUUCACAAAUUUGGGUAUUUUUUUUACUAAUUUUCUAAUGAAUGAUCCUCAUAAGCAGUAUCUUUACCAUUUAAUCCAUUUCACUUGUAAGCUUUGAAAUCUUUCCUAUUUGUUGUUCCAGUCUUAUGGCUUGAAUUAUUUUGAGCAGAGAAGUGCCCAGAUGUCUCCUAAAGGAACCACAUGCUUCUAGAGAGUGAAUUUCAGUCAGUAAGUACUUAUUCUAUUAGCUACCCCAUAAAAUAGUUGUACACGUUUCCUGUUUCCAGUAAAAGUUUGAGACUCGUAUGGCAAUAUUUACGCUAUUAAAAUAAUUAUUAUAUGUAAUUCAUCUUGUGCAAACCCCCCUUCAGCAAUCCCUUUCUCUAUAAUUUUGCAAGUUUUUUGCCAAUUUUUAUUUAUCUAUUUAUUUUUUUUCUAAAUAAAUAUUAAGUCAUUGUAUAUCUGACAUCCUGCUACAUGUAAGAAUGAGGAUUCCUAAGGACUAGCACUUAAGUGUCUGGCAGACUCCUGACAUAAGCAGAUCUGCGAUGCUUGCAGAAAAAAACUGGUGGUACCUCAAAAGAAAAGAUAUUGGUACUUGGAGUGAUAUUACUCCAUCAGUUUUUAACAAACAGGAAUUCUAAAGAUAGCUACAGAAAAAGGAUUGAAAAAUUUUAUAUUUUAUUUUUUUCCUUUUUUCUUCUGAAAAAUACUUAGCCAAUUAAAAUCAAACUUAUACAGUCCCAUAAAAUCUAUAAAAAAAAUUCAUAUUAAUAGACAAAUUGUUUUUCCAUUUUUUUUCCUGAAAACUACUCAGCCAAUUAAAAUCAAACUUGUCCAGAUGUCCCCUUAUCCAAUCCCAUACAACCUAUAAAAAAUUCAUGUUAAUAGACAAAUUAUGAAUGUCACCACAUAAGUAAGUGGAAUUGGCUCUCUUUAAUUAAAAUGGCUUUUUUAAGUGGUAAUUGAGUUCACCCCUUUUUUUUUAAUAUUCAUGCCCUUCAUAUGUAACAAAGAAAAGUUCUCCUGUUAUACCAAGGAACUUAUUCCUGAAAUAUUCAGCACACAUUAAAAACAAUCAAAAGAUGCACUUAUGAAU